rnacentral:rRNA from 1 species
CCUACGGGAGGCAGCAGUGGGGGAUAUUGCACAAUGGGGGGAACCCUGAUGCAGCGACGCCGCGUGGGUGAAGAAGCGCCUCGGCGCGUAAAGCCCUGUCAGCAGGGAAGCAAAGACGGUACCUGAAGAAGAAGCCCCGGCUAACUACGUGCCAGCAGCCGCGGUAAUACGUAGGGGGCACGCGUUAACCGGGUUUACUGGGGGUAAAGGGGGCGCAGUCGGCGAUGCAGGCCAGGAGUGAAAGCCCGGGGGCCAACCCCGGGACUGCUCUUGGAACUGCGUGGCUGGAGUGCAGGCGGGGCAGGCGGAAUGCCUGGUGUAGCGGUGAAAUGCGUAGAUAUCAGGAGGAACCCCGAUGGCGAAGGCAGCCUGCUGGACUGCAACUGACGUUGAGGCCCGAAAGCGUGGGGAGCGAACAGGAUUAGAUACCCCAGUAGUC